UAAGAGCAGGAUUAUCCCAGGUUCUUAAGGGGGUUUUUAGAAAAAUUCAGUGAUUUAAUUAAAUCAAAAAUAAUUAUAGAGUGAGUAAGCGAUCCUUAAUAAGGCAUUUUGGGGACCGAUUUAGAGGGGGUUUUAUAGACCACGUGUCAGCUUAUGAAAAAGUUUCAAAUUUUGUUUUUUUUUUAAUUUCUUUUCUUUGUUGUUUUCUUCUCUCUCCCUCGUGCUCUCCGUCUUUUGUCGGCGUCGUCUCUGUUUCUCUCCUCUUCUCCGCUGGACGAACGAAAUGAGAUUAUUAAUCAGAAGCUUCAAGAGAACCCUCUGUUUUGCGAGACCUCUCUCCCCCAACUGUAUCCACUUCUACUCGGUGUUGUAGCCUCUGGGUACUUCCCCUUCAAGAGAACCCUCUGUUUACUUUUUCCAGGGGAUCUACUAAACUCUUGGAAACUUUGUCAAGGCGCUUGUUAAGGAGAUUGUGAGUUCGAGAAGGAGAUUGUGUGUUCGAGAAGGACGAUUAAGAAUUUAUAUGAAAACAAGGCUCAGAUGAAUUCCAUAUCAAUGCACCUUGGGGACUCUUAUGCUGUUGGUCAAACAGUUGGGAAUAUGUCAAAGAGUGCAGAGGUUAUGAAGCUUGUCAAUAAUCUCAUGAAGGCUCCACAAAUGGCUGCAACUAUGCAGGAGUUCACCAAAGAGAUGACUAAGGUAGCUUUAUCCGUUUCCCUUUCUCUCACUCAGUUGAAAGCUCUCUUUGACAUACAAGGUUCAUAUGAAUUUAAGUAGAUGUGGAUCACGUAUCUUUUUUUGUUAUCUUGUUUCGUUUUAGAUUUGGUGUAUAGUGUGUCACGAGUCUUGUUUCCUUGUGUCACAAGACUUGUAUUUUUGUAGAUGUUUCCUUUUGUCACAAGUCUUGCAUUGUUGUAGAACUGUAAAAUUUUAUCUUCCAAAAAAAUGUAAUUUUUUUUAAGAAUUCUCAAUUAAGAAACUCCCAUUAAACC